UAUUCAUGUUACUUUUAAAAUUUCUAUAAAAAAUUUUUUAUUAAAAAAGAAAAUAUAAUGAUAUAAAGAUGUGAAAUAUGCUCAUCACAGUCUGCUAGGUAAAAAAAAAAAAAAAAAAAAAAAGUGAUUAUGGGUAGAUGGGGCUAGGCAGGGAAAGAUAAGGGAAAGGCCCAGAGUCAGGCUCUCAAAAAUCUGUGGGCUUCCAUAAACCCGAAGGACACAGAAAGGCCCAGAGUCAGGCUCUUACCCAUCCCAAGAAAACAGAGAUAAGACAGUAAAAACAGAAAAAUAAUAAACCUGGCUCCCUAGCUCCAAAAUGAUAGGGAGUAUCUCCCUUUAAUGGCUACUAAGUAAUCAGAGAAACUCCCCAGACCACAAAGAAAUGCAUCCUUCGGGUGUAUCAAUAGUCCCUGCUCAAACCAAGACUGCACAAGAAUCUCAAGGCCAUGGGCUCCCUGGUUAGGCUCUCAGUAAGAGACUUCCACUAAAAGCCCUCAGUGGCAACCCUGUCAGGACCCCUCUCACUUCUCUGUAUCUCUGCUUAAUAAACUUCUAUCGCUUUGCUCACUCUGCUGUCCAUGAGAUCCAUUCUUUGACUCCGUGGGACAAGAACCUACCUCUUCUGCAUCAUUUUGGUGUUGAAACCUGGAUUACUACCACCAAAGGUGCUGACCUUCAGAGAAGUGGCACAUGCAGGUGCAUCAGUUUCAGAGUCGUAAAGAAAAUGGAGACAAGAGUUUCAAGGAGGCAAUAAAGAAGUAGGAGUGCUUAAAGCAUUCUGUCCAAGUUGUUUUCCAUUAAAGGUAACAUUUGAUACCAUUCAUCUUCAGCUUCCUCUGUCUCCUUGGGGUCUCUAUUUCUACAUCUACUUUCUUUGUCCUAUUGUAGCCCUGGUGGUGAUUUAUCAAACUGUUAGAUCCUGUUUAUCCGAUUGUGUGAUGGCUUGUUUUUCAAACAUUACGUCUCUGAAAUGUCCAAUUUAACCUGUCUCUCUAUAUAUAAGGCUUAUGGUACUCUCAAGCUAUGAAAUUAAAUAUUAAAUCAGUUAUUAUUAUGUAGAGUUAGUAGCCACAUAAACAUGUUAUGUUUCACUCAGAAAUGUUGUUUCAGCAUCUACAAUCUCAAAGGGAAUAUUUGUUCUCAGUAAGUUUUUCUAUUUUGGGUUGUUUUUCCAUAGUUGAUGGUAUAAAUGGCUAUUCCAAUGGAGUUGUGUUAUUCACGAUAUAAUAAAUUUUGUUUGCUGACAUUUAUA
rnacentral:lncRNA from 12 species